rnacentral:antisense_RNA from 1 species
UCAUCAGGAAGGAAAUGAGGCAGCCCAAGGAGGCAGGAGACGAGGCCCUACCCAGCACCCAGCCAUCUGCAUUGACACGGCUGCCCACAGGAUAUCACUGCCCCCAUCCCGGGGCCCACCAUUACCAGCAGGGAGAGGGAGGCAGGGAAGAAAGCACGCAGCCAAAGAGCGUAAAGAGGCUCAGAGGAGGCCCGGGUGCCCUGGAGAGACGCUGCGUCCUGCUGCUCUUUCCCUGACUGUGGAGACAGACUGCCCAGUCUCCUGCAGCAUUUCAGUUACACACACAGCAUUCCUGUCCCGCAGCAGAGAUUUCCCAGAUGAAGGAUUCCCCGGCGGGAGACGGCCCUGCACACAGGUCCUCUGCCACGCUGCUCACCAUGCCUGUGUGUUAUCUCCCCAUGAAAAGUCACCUAGGCCGAGCAUGGUGGCUCACGCCUGUAAUCCCAGCACUUUGGGAGGUGGAGGCGUGCGGAUCAUCUGAGAUCAGGAGUUUGAGACCAUCCUGAGUAACAUGGUGAAACCCCGUCUCUAGGAAGAAUACAAAAAUUAACUGGG